rnacentral:rRNA from 1 species
GAGUUUGAUCAUGGCUCAGAUUGAACGCUGGCGGCAGGCCUAACACAUGCAAGUCGAGCGGUAACAGAAAGUAGCUUGCUACUUUGCUGACGAGCGGCGGACGGGUGAGUAAUGCUUGGGAACAUGCCUUUAGGUGGGGGACAACAGUUGGAAACGACUGCUAAUACCGCAUGAUGUCUACGGACCAAAGGGGGCUUCGGCUCUCGCCUAAAGAUUGGCCCAAGUGGGAUUAGCUAGUUGGUGAGGUAAUGGCUCACCAAGGCAACGAUCCCUAGCUGGUUUGAGAGGAUGAUCAGCCACACUGGAACUGAGACACGGUCCAGACUCCUACGGGAGGCAGCAGUGGGGAAUAUUGCACAAUGGGCGCAAGCCUGAUGCAGCCAUGCCGCGUGUGUGAAGAAGGCCUUCGGGUUGUAAAGCACUUUCAGUCAGGAGGAAAGGUUAGUAGUUAAUACCUGCUAGCUGUGACGUUACUGACAGAAGAAGCACCGGCUAACUCCGUGCCAGCAGCCGCGGUAAUAC